UUAAAUCUUAAAACCGAAUAUUCUUCGAGCGGGAUAACUUACUUACCUGUGCUACGGUAAAAUUAAAUCGUGCGCGGGAUGGACACAAUAACGUAAACAAACAGAAACGACGAUUGCCACUAGAGAUGGAAGCUCUUUAUGUUCAAUCUGGCUUUGAUAAAUAUGAAUUUAAUAAGUUCACGGGAAAAAGGGAGGUAAAUCCAAAAGCCACAGAGGUAAACCCGGGGGUUUUGGUUACAGCAGAGACAAGUUUGAGAACAAAGCGAAAAUCUAUAAACCAAUCAAAAGUAAAGGACACAACAAGCGGCAGUUCAGUCGGUGAGAGCGGGUAAAUCGUCAGUGAUAGACAGUGAUUGUCAGUGAGAUAAUGUCAGAAUGUCAGUGAAAAUAUGUUAAACAAAGGAGAUUCUCUCAUAAAGUUGUCUGGAUAUGGACAAAGUUAAACCAGUUCAAUUGUCACAGAUGGAAUAAAAUGUUGGAAUGAUGAUAAAAUUAAUACAAUUUUAGAAUAACACUUGAUUUUAUUAAACAUCAGCCUAUAAGAACUCUUGUCCUUUUAAUCUUAAAUUAUUACCAGCCCCCCCCCC